UUGGCUAUCAUUCACUAUCUAUUUCUAACUAUGAAUUGUAUGGUUUUCAUCUUUCCUAUUUUGUGGUGUUCUUUUCAGUUCCUAUUUUUGCAUACUUGUUGUUAUCGUUUGUGAUCUCUGUGAAAGGAAGUUUAUUUCUUCUUUUCCUCUGUCGAGCACUCCUCGUGCUCUGCGUCGAUCUAGGCACCUUUACUCUAUCAGUAAGCCUGCAUGAACCCGAAAGGAGAGCUGGUUAGUCAGGUUCAAUGUCUAACUCCAACAGGAAAAACUACAGAGAGAAGAAAAACUGAAAAAAAUGAGACACAACUUUGAAAGUGCCAAUAAAAAAAAUCUAUAGUCGUUUGUCUAUGCAGCACUAUAUUAAUAGCCCUACGCUCCGCAGCAACAGCUUUUACUUUCUCGGUUGACUUGCUUCAUUCUGAUACGGAUAUUAGUUGGAGAGUCUACAGGCGUGGAGAAUGGGAAGUGGUUUGGCCACAAGAAGAGGUCCCUUUAGGUUUGUUAGAGCAUAGUGGUGCCAAAAGUGCUUUUCGGGUUGUUUGUCUAUAUUUAAGGAAAUUUUUUUUCUAUCUGUUGAAUUAGGUGUUCUCGAAUAUCUUUACUUGUUCUUGAGUUAUGAAGUUGUCCUAUGUCGUAAUCCUUGUUUACUUUCACUUCUGGGCAUUUUAUGUAGCCUUGAUCUAACUGACCCGUUUAGUGCCAUGUUUUCAUGUUGUCGAAUAUUCUUAAUUCAUGUAUAGCCUUCUAGGUUAGUUAGUUAGUCAGCCUAGUCAGAACACAUGUUCCAAGUUCAGUUUGUAGUUGUUAAACUUAAUCCACUCAUGUUGCGUGCCAACAAGCCAAAAACCCUUAGGAGGUGUUUGGUUUGGCAAAUAAGAGUAUUAAAUGCCCAAAAACUAACAUUUUCUCAUGUUUGGUUUGGUGAAUACCAUUUCAAUAGGGCCUCCAUUAAUGAGUCCGGCCCGCCUCAUUUAUGCCCAUUUCAUUAGUUAGGGUAUCUCCUAAAUUUUGAAAGAAACGUUUUCUGCCUCGUAGUGUUAACUUCAUUGGAAAACUGAAAUGACCUAUUUGUCCUCAUCUUCUUCAAUCACGUAACAUUUCACCUCCCUUUCUGUACAUUUUUUUACCGCUGCCUGCUCUCGUCUUCUCUCCGCGGAAUCAUCAAUUAGCAUCGGCUUCUUCAGGGACUUCGAGUUAAAUACCCACGACGACCAAGGUAUAAAGUAGGAUCCUCAAAUGGCAAGCCGUUCGUUGAAAGGGGGCAACUUGCAACCAAGGGUGUAGAGACAGGCAAGAGAUGCAUGAAGGAUAUCACAAGUAUAUUUAGCCUGAUUCAAGAAAAUGCCAGAAGAAGUAUAAGUGACUUCAAGCCCAAAAAAUAACCAAGUUUUCCAAGGUCAGUGAUGGAAAAUUCUUGAUGAAGACGGGAGAUGAAAGAUUUCAAGUCAUCAUAAGAAUUUCAUGUCAGAAUUAUAUCAUCAACAUAGAAGCGCACUAUGGUCAAUAAGUGAAAUUCUGUAAAAAAUCAAAGUAAAUCUCAGCCUUUGGAUCCUUAGAUUAGAUGGUUGUGAUAAGUUACAUUAUUAGACUAAUAUGUUACAUUAUUAGCUAAGCUACAUUAUUAGACAAAAAUGCUAUAUUAUUUUACUAAAA